ncrna:Lactobacillus amylovorus GRL 1112 DTF1646 RNA
GGUUGGGUUUUUACACAAAAUAAAAACUUUCAAGAUUUGCUUCUUUGGGUCAAGAAGC